UACGGAAGGUGCAAGCGUUGUCCGGAUUUAUUGGGUUUAAAGGGUGCGUAGGUGGCCCUGCAAGUCCGUGGUGAAAGCCUGCCGCUUAACGGCAGAACUGCCAUGGAUACUACAGGGCUUGAGUCCAGACGAGGUUGGCGGAAUGGAUGGUGUAGCGGUGAAAUGCAUAGAUACCAUCCAGAACCCCGAUUGCGUAGGCAGCUGACUAGGCUGGUACUGACACUGAGGCACGAAAGCGUGGGGAGCGAACAGG
rnacentral:rRNA from 1 species